rnacentral:lncRNA from 1 species
CUCCCUCCAAAUACACAAAUAACGUCGCAUUUAUCUAUAGCCGUAAACAAUUAUAAUUACAGUACAUUAUAAGAAUAAAUCAAUUAAUGAAAAUUCUAAAAUCAGUCUUCCAAAGAAACCAACUUCCUCCUUUUCAUAGCUCCUGAAUUUCUAUUAGCACUCCAUACGGAGAUGGUGGUCUUCAUAUAUCAUCCAAUGAAUGUUGAAUGUUG